rnacentral:lncRNA from 1 species
UCAGGCCUAUUGAUGGAAUUCGAAUUUGAUUUCAUGACUACUCAUUUCAUUUUUUAUUUUUAUUUUUCCGAGUGCUCAUUUCAUUAUUUUAGUUGGCCAUUCAUUCCCAAGAAAAUUAAAAAACAUUUCUAAAACCUUAAUAAACUUCAAUUUUUAAAUGAAUGAUUUAUUUGAGGUGUUUGGAUAAUAUUGUUGUACUGUAACGUACGUUCAUCCAUCCAGUCCACGAAAGGCAACAACAAUAACUUAGAAAACCAACAGAUUACUUCCUCAUAAUUCACAGAACAGAAAUGGAUCUCCAGGAAAUAAAAUAAAGAGGUGAGGUCGCACGUGGUGAAUAAGGUGGAGAUAAACACGCAUCCACGUGUAAAACCCAAGACCACAAGGCAGCACAAAAUCCCCUUCUUCCCCAAUUUAUCCACACCCCCAAAAACCUUAAUCACUCUCACUCUCCUCCACAAUUCCCAAAUGCCAUUCAAUAAUUACUCAAUUAAUUGCCAUUCCUAAACCCCACUCUCUCUCUCUGGAAAUGGCGCUCCUGCAUUCCCCUCCCUCGUCGUCUUCCUCCUCAAUCUCCCACAAACCCCACUUAAACCCCUCCUACGCCCCCCGCCCCGCCCAGAACUUCCUCUCCCCGCCCCACCAGCGCCAGCGGCGGCGGCCUCACUCGGUGUCGUGCUCGGCGUCGUCGUUCCCGGAGAAGCACCACACCAACUCCCCGAAAUCGGACGACGUGGUGGAGCUGCCGCUCUUCCCCCUCCCCUUGGUGCUCUUCCCGGGGGCCAUCCUCCCCCUCCAAAUCUUCGAGUUCCGCUACCGCAUGAUGAUGCACACCCUCCUCCACACCGACCUCCGCUUCGGCGUGAUCUACACCGACGCCUCCACGGGCACCGCCGACGUGGGCUGCGUGGGCGAGGUGGUGAAGCACGAGCGCCUCGUGGACGACCGCUUCUUCCUGAUCUGCAAGGGUCAGGAGCGCUUCCGCGUCACCCGAUUGCUCCGCACCAAACCCUACCUCGUCGCCGAGGUCACCUGGCUGGAGGACCGCCCCUCCGCCGGCGAGCUCCAGGACCUCGACGCCCUUGCCGACGAGGUCGAGACCUACAUGAAGGACGUCAUCCGCCUCUCCAACCGCCUCAAUGGCAAGCCCGAGAAGGAGGUGCAGGAUCUCAGGCGGAACCUCUUCCCCACGCCCUUCUCCUUCUUCGUCGGCAGCACCUUCGAGGGGGCGCCGCGCGAGCAGCAGGCCCUGCUGGAGCUCGAGGACACCGCCAUGAGGCUCAAGAGAGAGAAGGAGACGCUCAGGAAUACCCUCAAUUACUUGACGGCCGCCUCCGCGGUUAAGGAUGUCUUUCCCUCCACAUAGCAAUGCAAUGUAUUUUCAUGGGAAUGUCUCUGUCUCAACUUUUUUAUAUCCAAUACAUAAUUUCACUUAUAUAUUUCCUUGCCAUCAGUUUUUUCUUAACUUACAUUCUUGAUCAAGAUUCGAGGCAAUGCUCUUUUUAGUGUGAGUAUCACUAAUUUUCAAUCUUCUCCUUUCAACCAUUUUAGAUUCAUGCUUAGUUUAGUGUAUUGAGGAUUUGUUGGAUAAGCACUUGUAGUUGAGAUUGAUAGUAUUUGUUGUUCUAAAACAAAGGCAGUUUUCUUUCUUUGGUGAUUAGGAAAAAUAAUUUGUGAAAUGUGAAUCUAACUAGUGGUGAGUAUGUGUGUAGUGUUAAAACAAGUUCAAAACUUUGCACUUAUGUUUCCAUAAGAUUGUAGAAAUGACCUGUUCGUUUCAGUUCUGUUCAAGUAGUUGGUUAUUACAAGAGAGGAGCAAAAACUCAGCAAUUUUGGAUGUUGUAGUUUUGCUUUUCCACACAAAUAUAUAUUGAUAUCCUGAUUUGUUCUUUUCUGCGAUUGCUUUCUUCGUUUGGCAAUUUUGCUGCUUAAACUUUCAAGGCAGAAAUGUUGACCUGCUGCACCAUGCUUUUAUGUUGAUUUCUAGUUGGAGAGAUGACAAAUCUGAUACAAUGGGCUUGAAUCUUGAGUGCUUACAAUCAUGCAUGUUACUCUUCAUAUAUGCUGACAUCUCAUUUCAAGUUGGAUUCAAUUAUCCAGCACUGAGUUUUAGUUUCUUCCGAGUUGAUAGGAUGCAACUUAACAGACUACAGUAAUUCUUCAUCAUGAUUCAUGAAAUUAUUGACAUUAUAUUUGUUGUGUCAAAGGAGAAGACUAAACUAAUCAGACAUCAUCGUACAGUUACUGUGAUCAGUCCCUAACACCAAACAUUUUAUGCACAUGAUAUUGUUGUUUAACAGUAAGCAGAUAGCACCGGUGGAUAAAUUUAGUAAUAAAUACCAAGUGUCGGAUGAGAUGUUGAUGAUGCAUUUCCAAAAUGUUUAUCAUAUAGUAACAUGCAUAAUAAGUAACAUGGAAUCUUCUUGCUGAUAGAAAAAUGAAAAGAUAAAAUUCACCCAACCGAUGUAGAAUUAAGUUGACACCUUAUGCAGUCAGCACUGAAUUUUAAUUUCUUCUAAGUUUUGUUUUUCUUUUCCUUGAUUUUGUAUACUGAAGGGUGCUUACUAUUCAGAGCAUUAAGAAGUUUCUAAUCGAAUUUAGUAACAAAAGAUUAGUGUAUAAGUACUCUAUUAAGGUUAAUCCUCAAUAGUAAACAUCGGUUAACACUAUGCAGCUUAACAGACUAUAGUAAUUCAGAGAGAGUAAAUUGUUGACAAUUAUCGCUUUUACCUUUUUUUUUUUUUUUUUUUUUUUCAUCCGAGGCAAACCAAAUGUGAUUUCCAUUAUAUCCAAGCCUAGAAACAUUGGUUAAGUCAUUUGGGAUAUAAGAAAGCAACAGAAUUCCCUCUUUAAUCAAAUAUUGACUGAACCAAAACGUGUUUUCUCUACUUAUGUUUUGGGAUUUGCUAUCAAUUCAUAAACGCAGAAAUAACAAUCCAAUGCUACACAAAAUCUACCUCAACUGACCAUCCCAGAACAAAAAAAUUCCAUGAGAUUGCCAUAAGCCUUUUUGUUGAUUGUAAGAGGACUCCACUGCCUAACUUGUGGAAAAGCUAGUCUUCCCAAAUGGCUUCGACAACGUAGAAUUCCCGAUUCUCUGCACAAGGAUAGUACAUUAAACUAUGUGAAAAUCAUACUAAUGAUAUAUGGAUUAAUGUAACUACACGAAUCAUAGUAAUGGGAGCAAUGACUUUAACUCCUAAGACUAAAGCUAAUGUUCAAAACAGAGCACUUUGGUAAAGAAACUUUAGAUCUCGAACAAUGAACAAUGCUGAUCUCAAUACACAAAUCCUUGUAUAGGUUUUAAGUAGGGCUUCAUGAUACCCUGAAAGUUUACUAUAUGCAUCCGAUACUAUAGAUAAAAUCAAACUAAAGAUUGGAGUAUUAUCAACCUAAGAUAGAUUCCACAGUAACAAGUUAUAAUUAUUUUAAAUGAAGGGGAGGUUGAAAACAAACCUUGAGACAGAGAUUCCUAGUAGUGUCACAAGUCGGGUAAUCAGGCGGACAACAGUGCAUAUGGUCGUCGCAGCAAACAGCAGAUUCAGCUUCACAACAUCUCCAACUGAAGCAUAUUCCAAGAAGACUCCACGAACAGCAACAGGUUUCAUCACUCGCACAGUAAGUGAAAAGAUUGCAUUUAGUUGGACCAGGAGAGGGGGAGGGCGGGGGAUUUGGGCUCGUUUUGAUAGGGUACGAUGCCAGUGUGUUGAUCCCACAGACCCCUUCGGCAUUCCCUGAAUUCCGUAGCAUAUGCAUAUAGCCGUUCAUCCCCCAUCGAGUUCCCCAUGAGUUCUUCACAAUCCAAUAAUCCACCCCAUCUUCAGAAUCGUAGCCCACAAUCAAAACUGCAUGAUCCAAAGAGGUCGAGCAUGGGCCACUGAAUAUCCCCUGCACUUCACAUUCACAUAUUAGUCAAAGAUGAAUUAGAAAGAGAAAGACACAAGACAAUGGCUCUGAACACCAACCCCUGAGUACAAUUGAAAAGUUGAGUCACUUCCACAUAUACCGACACUGACAGGCUGAGUCGCAACUGCCUGUUGUAGCUUCUUCUCCUUCUUUGAGGGUACAUCAGCAUAGCUAUCAAUGGUUACAACAUGUCUUUUCAGCUGCAAUGAACAUAAGAGAAUAAUUAUAGAAACAAGAAAUAUUUACUAGUAGCACAAAACAUGGGUCAAACAUAAGCAGAUUUACUUUAUCUUUGUUGCAGGUUCCAUCACGGCCUCGAUAUGGGUAAUCCUCCUCAGUGUCGAUUCCUUUAUUCUUUAUAAUGAAUUCGAACGCGUAGUCCAUGAGCCCUCCACCACAUCCAUCAUUAUAGGAUUUGUCACAGUCAAUAAGUUCUUGUUCGGAUAGGCUGACAAGAGAUCCCGUGUUAAUCUGAUUAAUUCCUUCGACUGCACCCGUGGCUGAGAAUGACCAGCAUGCACCUUUAUAGAUAAGACAAAAGUAUGUUAGUUGCUAUCCUUUGUUUUCUAAUUUCAGUAGCAAGAUAAGUUUGAUAAGUUUUGGUUGUACUGCUCCAACGUGAAUCAUCAUUCAUAUCGCUAAGAGAAGCAGAUAUGGUCACAAGACAAGUGUUCUCCAGUUCAUAUUUUUUGAACAGACUGUUAGCAAAUUUUAUUAACUUAGAUUUAGAUCCUUCCCUCAGCAUCUUAUUCGUAUUUCGUAAAACCAAUUCAAGAUUGUACCAGUUACAGUUAUGAUGAGAUUAAUUUCGUUAUUGUUUUCCCUAAGCAUAUGAUAUUGUUGUAUAUAGUAGCCACAAAAUAUGUAAAUAUGUAAUAGGUGACAUAGCUCCACUAAAUGAAUUCUCUUUUAAGUGUAUUUCCUUGAAAAGGUUAACAUGGUGGAUGCAUUUCAAACAAUUAAAACUCCAUUUACUUGUUAAUCAAAUGAAACUGCAGUUGCAACCUAAAGUAUUAGUAAAAGAUCUUCUUGAUGAGGAAAAUGAAGAAAUUAGUUCAUCAACAGCAAUGAAGAAUGUAGAAUUAACUUGUAUGAAAGCAGUUUCUUUUUCCACUGACCUAAACCACAUUAGACCUUCAGAUAACUUGUAUGAAAGCAGACAUAUGAGACAUUUCCAAGCUAUUAAAGCCAAAUAAUAAAGCAAAACGAAACUACAUAGUCCCCUCCAAUGUGUAUGAAUCAUAAAUUUCACUCAAUUUACUUGAUAACUGGAUUACAAAGUGAAAAAUUCUUGAGCAAACAUUAGGAGAAAAGCCAAUUGAACCAUUCAAAACGGAAAAUUCUUGAGCAAACAUUAGGAGAAGAUCCGAUUGAACCAUUCAAAAUGGAUAGCAUUAAACAGUAGACGAUAAAUAGAGGUUCCUCAUUCUAUUUUAAUUGAAGAAACACAACAAAACCAUUGUUGAUUUCAAGAAAAUUCACAGGAACAAAGGUUCUUCAGUUCAGUUUAUUUCAAUUCAAGAAACACAACAAAACCAUUGCUCACUUCUACAAACACACAAAAUCAUUGUUGACUUCAAGAAAAAAAAACACAAAUGCAUAGUUUAAGUGUCAAAACAGAUCAUCUUUAAAGGUAAAAAAGGCAAACAAACUUCAAAUCCUACGGUUAAGAAUCAAUGCAUUGAAACGACUACUACACAAGAUACACAACAGCAUUAUCGUUUAUCAAUAACACAAAUUUCUACGAUAGCAACACAUAUAGAUUAACAAAUAAGCAUAAAAAAAGACAGCAUACCACAACUCCCCUGAUCUUUGACCGCGGUGACAGCCCCUUUCUUUCGCCAAUCCACAGAAGCUGGGAGAUCAGAUUCUUCGACAAGAUUGGGUGGUUGGAUUGCAGAUUCCCUACUAUUCAAUCUAAUAAGUAAAUCAUUAACUGAAGGCGAAAGUCCCAAAUAUUUGGCCUUAAAUUCAUGAUUACUAAGAUCUGCAAAUGCAUUGAGUGAGAGCCUGUGAGAAGAAUUAGCCCUGGUGUUGUGUUGAACAACAAUCUCAUAGUUAUGUUGAAACACUUUGAGUCUUUGUUGUUUCUCUUCUUGGGAGGCGUAUGUCUUUCCAUAUUCCUUGCACCAAUCAUCAAAGAGGUCAGAAAUAGAUGAAGAAUUGCAGGUGGGUAGUUCGGAGAUAAAUAGAAAAAGAGUGGAGAGCGACCAUAACCAUAACCAUAACCAUAACAACCGACUCAUUCUUGACAUGGGUCUGAAUUUCUUGGCUUCCUUCUCUAAGUUUCGGUUGAAAUUGGACUAUGUUAUUUCCUCUAAAAGUGUGGUGAGCCAAAGGGGUUGAGAAACAUGAGGAUCUUCGAUUGGAAGAGACAGAUUUUGUUGGAAAGAGAGCGACCAAUGAAGAACUUACAAGAAUAAGAGUAGUCAAAUUGGAUUGGGAUGUUUAAUAUCUACGUGUUCUUCAAUAUUAUCACUUACAAUCUCGUGGUGCUGCGGUUUGUUUUUAUUAUUAUUAGGUGACUUGAUAAAAGGGGGACACAAUGAGUUAUGAGGUCAUAUUGGGGUAACUUAAUAUAGAUUAUUUGAUUUUUUUAAUUUUGAUUUUUAUAUUUUUUAUUUAAAUUUAAUUGUACAAAUUUAAAUAACACAAUUUACUUCAAAUUUAAAUUGCAUUAAUUUGAAAAUCCUAAAAAUUACAUAAAAAAAUUACAUAAAUCUUAAAAAUUUAAAAACAUAUCGUAAAAUAACUAUUCCGGCCCUAAAGGUCUGAAACGUGCCCAAACGUGUUCGAUCAAAUCAUUUUGGAGUUGAGCAUGCAUCUGCCUAUCUCGGAGAAGUUCAUCUCUAUGCACAUAUUGCUCGAAACAAACCGGGGUUGCUCGAGCACUCUCCGUCGAGUCACUGCUAAACGCCACGUGUCAUGUCUCGUCAUUCUCCAAUGGGUAGCUCUUUCACCUUCGUUCUCCACAAUCAUGUUGUGGAGAAUAAUGCAACACAUCAUGAUGUCCUUGAGAUGCUCGUCGUACCAACCCCGCGCCGGACUUCGAAUGAUUCCCCAUCGAGCUUGAAGCACUCCAAAGGCACGUUCGACAUCCUUCCGUACCGAUUCUUGCAUCUUCUUGAACCUCUCAUCCUUUGGAUUGGUUGUCAUCAGCGGACUCUUGAUGAAGCAGCGCCACUCUGGAUAUAUGUCGUCGCACAAGUAGUAGCCCAUCUGGUAGUAGCGUCGGUUGGCCUCAAACCGGUCCGCCGUUCCGUCCAACACGUUCGAGAACAGAGGCGACUGGUUCAGAAUGUUGAUGUCAUUGUUCGAAUCGGCGACACCGAAAAAGACAUGCCAAAUUCACAAAUCAUGAGAUGCAACGCCCUCCAAGAUUAAGGUGGGCUUCCCUUGAUCACCGCGUGUAUAUGCGUCGUGCCACGCCUUUGGGUAAUUCUUCCACGCCCAAUGGAUACAAUCAAGACUCCCGAGCAUCCCGAUAAAUCCGUGUCGCGCCUUGUGCAUCUGAAGAAGGCGUUGGGUGUCCGCCGUCGUAGAACGUCGAAGAUACUCGGCUCCAUAAGACUAGAUGGUAGCCUUGCAGAACCUCUUGAGGCAUAGACGCCCCGUCGUGUCAGCGACCUUGAGAUACUCGUUGAAAGUAUCCGCACUGACGCCGGUGGCUAAUUGGCGGAUAGCCACCGUGCAUUUCUGCAAAGGCAUGAGAGAGUCCCGACUUCGUGCAUCAUUGGCUCAUCUGGAAGUAAGUAUCUUCACCUUGCACAGCAUCGAUGAUGUGCAAGAACAACUCCUUCUACAUCCAAAAACGAUGUCGAAAAAAUGUAGGCUCGUACGUCGGAUUGUCAUUGAAGUAGUCUUGCAUAAGACGUAAAUGAGCAGCCUCACGAUCACGGUAGACGUAUUGUCGGUGAUGAACAACACGUUCUGACUCCGUUUGGGAGUACAUUUGAGCAAUCAAUUGUUUCUGCUCCUGGAUCUCAUCGAUGAUCGCCUGCGCUCCCUCGUCGGACGAAGACGACGAAGUAUCAUCGAACCAUUCCAUUUUUUGAAGGAAAAUUGAUGCAGAUUGAAGGAGAAAUAGAGGAAGAUUGAAAGAGAAAAUUAUUUGUGUGUAAAUGAAGAAAUGAGGGAGAGGUAUAGAAAGGAAAAANAAAAGUUGAAUAAACGGCUAUGAAGCCGUUGGGAAAAAAAGGAAAAAAAAAAGGUGAAAAUGGCUAUGAAGCCGUUUGAUUCAAAAAUUCGAUUUUUUUUUAAUUAGGCGCGUGUGUGACACGCGCGUUGAUUGAAGGAGAUCAGGCCUCACCCGAUAAAUCGGGCUAGCCUCGAGGCGACGGUUGCUGCAGUGGGGGACCCGAUACAGUGGGUGACUCGAGUAGCCUCCAUCAAGUCACCCACUGUGGGUACUCUAAUAAAAUUAUAACUUUCAUUAGCAGGAAAUAUUGAAUUUUUUACUAAGUUCAAUUUUAUUCCGUAAUUAGUUUUGCUCUCGUACGAUACACGGUAAUAAUUAUUUAAUUAAUUUAAUAAAAAAUAUAUAUUUUUGAUUUAUUUACAUGUUUUGAGGUUAAAUCUUUUNUUUUUGUAUUAUUAUAAAACUUUUCAUGCCCGACUGCAAAACAUUGGAAAUCCUCAACUCAGACUAUUUCUUUCUUUCAGAAUAUUUAAAAAAAUGUUCAACUUUUUUCGUGUUCACUUUUUAUUUGAUGCUGAAGAGAAAAGUUUAAUAGUGAGACGAUGAGGCAUUUUAAGAAUGACUUAGCAUCUCUUUACUAAAAAAAAUAUAUAUCAUCUCAAGUUUUAGGUAUUAGUCUGUUGGUCCUAUUUCACCUAAAUUUGAAAAGAAGUGAUUUAGUUGAUACAAUCAAAGAGUUAGUUAAUAAUCUGUUUUCUUGCCUCUUUUACAUCAAACAUUAUACAUGAAUUUGUUUGAUAGUUUUAGAGUCAAUAAUAUCUCAGCUUUUUGCAAUGUAACAUGAUGCAAAAUAUAUAGAGCCAAUAAAUGUAACACCCCGAUAAUUUAGAUUUAUUUUAUAAGUUUAAUUAAUAGUAUUUUCUUGUAAAGCCUAUUUUUUAAAUAAUUACAUGAUACAUAUAGAUAUGCACCAUUAAUUUUAUCUAGACUAUUAUUAUUAUUAUUAUUAUUAUUAUUAUUAUUAUUAUUAUUAUUAUUAUUAUUAUUAUUAUUAUUAUUAUUAUUAUUAUUAUUAUUAUUAUUAUUAUUAUUAUUAUUUAUUAUUAUUUAUGUUUUCUUACUUAUUAACUAAGUAACUAACUUUAAAUUUUAGUUGGGUUUUGGAGAGCUGUGGGGCCAGAAACGUGAGGAGCUUGAGUCAGUUUUUCGCAGGAAAUCAAGUUCUGGCAGUUUCGGGAGAACGGCCAUAACUUCCUCCACAGAACUCCGAUUCAGGCGAAACAGGCGGCCACGGAAAGCUCUCUCGAAGACGAAGACGUCGUAUUUCUGGGCGAAAUACGAUUGAGGACGUUUGAGGCUUCAAACGAAGGCUUGAAGCUGACUGGUCUGUUCAGCUGCGAUUUUGACGAAUUCUUUGGUGCUUUUAAGAGUUCAUUCGGGAUUUUUUGUUAGCCUUCAUUUAAGGGAGUUAUCAAUUUCAAGAAUUAGGUGAGGGAUUAUAUGCUUGUGGUUAUAUUCAUGUAUGUUUUUAUAUGCUCUUAUUUCAUAUUUGAUUAUACUUGCUCAGCCAUGUAGAAAUACAUGUUCAGAAUAUCAUGUUCAAGUACAUGAAUAGAAACGCAGAAUAUCAUGUUCAAGUACAUGAUCAGAACGCAGAAUAUCAUGUUCAAGUACAUGAUCAGAAACGCAGAAUAUCAUGUUCAAGUACAUGAUCAGAACGCAGAAUAUCAUGUUCAAGUACAUGAUCAGAAACGCAGAAUAUCAUGUUCAAGUACAUGAUCAGAAACGCAGAAUAUCAUGUUCAAGUACAUGAUCAUAAAUUCAGAAACACUCAGAAUUAAGUAUAUGUGUAUGACAAUGUGAAUUAUUUGCAUGUUUAAGCGUAUGUGAAUAUGUGCAUGGUUUCUUCACUGAGUAUAUUUUCAAUAUGCUCAUCCCUUAUCUUUUCAGUUUUGCAGUUUUGGAGUCGAGGUGGCCAUGGAAGUCGAGAAUGACUAGAGAUUUAGUUUUCCCAUAGAAUUUAAGUUGAACUUGUUAAGUUUUAGCUUAUCGUUCUUAUUUUAUGUUACUACUUUAGUAUUGGCAAAUUGUAUUUUUUUAAAGUAGUUUAAAUUAUGAAAGUCAAGAAAUUUUAUUUUUAACUAUUAGUCCUUCAAGUUUUUAGUUUGAAAAGUUUAUGAAAAUUGGGGUGUUACANCUUUAUAUAUGUAUGUAUAGAUUACUAACUUCUAUCUAAAAUACGAUUAAAAUAGACAAUGAAUGAUUAAUUAGCAAAAAUCUCUAUAAUUUAUAAAUAUAGUAUAAAUAUUUUUACGUUUUUUCUUAUGAAUUAUAAUAUUAAAUGAUCUCGUCGAAUUAUACCAUGUAAAUAAAAAUAGGCGUGACUAAAUAAUGAGUAUAUUUUGAGCAAGUCUUGUAGUAUUGAAAAAGAUAGGCACGGCUAGUUUUUGUCGUUUGUGAAGUAAAAUGGAUAUACUUGAGUUGAGCAGUAAUGCCAGUAGUAGUAACAAGGAGUAAAUGAGCAAGAGGCAAGAUAAAAAUAAUAUAUACUAUAAGAUGUUUUGGCAAGAUUUGCAUGCGAAAUCGAUGUGGAAGGUCGGAGACGCAAAGCUCGACACUAAUCCCCAUCAAUCAACACGUAAAAGCCAUGCAGCCCUUCACUUCCACUAUAAAAAAGGAGCUAGCUAGCCCCUUUACCCUCAUCAAUAACAAUCCUCAUCUUAUACAUACAUACUAGCUCAAGCUCUCUCUGAAAUGGCGAUCAAGUCCGCACUGGCAGCAGCUCUCCUGGUGGCCCUGGUGGCCGUGGCCAGCGCCACCACCGUGACGACGGUGACGACGACUUCCUACGACGAGAGGGGCAGCGAGAAGUACCGGCAGUGCAGCCAGCAGGUGCAGGGGCGGGAGUUCCAGGAGUGCCAGAGCUACCUGAAGCAGAGGAGCAGGCCUUACCUGGAGAUGGAGAUGGAGGCCGAAAGCAACCCCCAGCAGCAGGAGGAGUAUGCUGAGCAAUGCUGCGAGCAGCUCAGGGAAAUGGACCGCUACCAAUGCGGCUGCGAAGCCAUCAGGCACGCCGUCCAGAAGGCGCAGCAGCAGGGAGGCCGCUCCUACCAAGCCGGCACCGAGCAGAUCUACGAGAGGGCACGCGCCCUUCCCCGCCUCUGCAACUUGAGGGAGCAGCAAUGCCGCUUCAACCUUGUCUUUCUCUAGACUCUACUUCACCAGGUUAUGUCAUGUAAACCGGUGACCCUCUUUUUCUUUUUCUUCCCGUCCUACCCUCUGUUUAUCUCCUCCAAAUAAAUAAACAACAUUUUCGGAUCUUUUUUCUCACUUUAAUUUCUAAUAAAUUAAUUACUACCACUACUCCAACUUCAUCAAGUUAUCAUCUUCUUAAUUAGAAAGUUAUACUACUAAAUUAGUUUCGGUAGAAAUUUCUAAAUAAUGGCAAGAUUAAUGUCAUAUUAAUUUAAUGAUAAAAGUUUCAUAUUUGAGUUCAUAUCAAGUACUAAUUUAUAAAAUGUAAAUUAUUUGUUCUAUAAAAAAUACUAUAUCAAAAUAUAAUUAAUUAGAAGCAACUUUUGUAGAAACUGAAAAGUUACAGAAAAUUCCUGUAUUCUCUUAAUCAGAAGACCGUAAGUUAAAAUUUCUGUUGAUUAGUGCACAUCUCAUUUGGUCCUGAUGCAUCCGAAAUAUCUCUUGGAGAUUUUGUGAAUUUUACAUAACAUCAAUUUCUCGUGAUUUAUGAAUUUGUGAAUUUCUUCAUGAUGCACCUAAACUUAUAGCUUAUGCGUCAAAAUUAAGGUCGAAAUUAGAUGAGAUUAGGGGUAGACCAAGAUACCGAUUUUAUAACUUGGCUUCUGCAUGAAAGACGUCAUGAAAAAGGUCAAAAGAUAUANCUACUAUAUAUAUAUAUAUAUAUAUAUAUAUAUAUAUAUAUGCACGAUAUCUUAUUUCUUGCUUGCUAGCAUCGAUGGAUUGUAAAAUAAUCUUAAUUAAAUCCGUAGAUUUAAUUCGUUUGCUUAUCUAAUAUCUAAAUUAAAUCCGAAGAUUUAAUUCUCCUCACAAGCCGGAAUAAAUUCACGACUUAAGCAAGUACAAAAAUAAUAACAACUAAUAAUAUAAAUAAUAUUUCUAUUGCACUUAAUAAAUAACAUGAGGUUGCUAAGUCAAUUAUAAUCUGAAGUAAUAAUUAUUGACUGCUCAAUAAUCCUUAUCGCGGUUUCUCAUGCGAAGCUAAGGGACGUAAAUAAUAACUCUGCUUCCAAUAAUAUAAAUAUAAUUCAAAAACAUAAGCGGAUAAGCCUGUUAUCAACCUAGAUAACCACUGGGUUUUAUUACUGAAUUAUGCAAUAAAUAAUUAUCGCAUUACUGGUUUUAAUAUAAUUAAAAGAGCGGGUUAUAACAUACUACCCCUCUUAACAAAAAUUUCAUCCCGAAAUUUCAUAUAUGGGUCAUCUAGUUUGGACUAUUAGACAUUCAUUCCAUUCAGCUCUUAUGCGGCAUUGAAUCAUACACGACCUUAACUUUCUAACAACACGACAUCGUUCUUCAAACCAGAAAUUUUCUUCAAAAUUGGUUAUGUCAUCACGUCGUGGAACUUGCCCUUUUCUUUUCUUGGAGAUUGGACUGUGAUCCUUCUCUCGCUACAAAGUGUUGUAGCUCUGACUCGAUUAAGUCUAUCAAUUCUGGUGUUUCACGAAACCAACACCUAAACUACCAAGUGAAAAAUGUAAGCUAUACCUAGUAUGGAUGAUCGGAAAGAGCAAAGUAACGAUCGGAGAAUUGAGCACGAGAGCAAAAUAUAACUGUUGUAUUCAAAAGUGAAUGAUAGCGUAAAAACAAGACACGAGCUCAUGCUCUAUUUAUAGAGUAUGUGGAAGGGUAAAACAGUAAAAUCGGUGCUAGCGCAUGCAUUUGGCGUGAUCGAAGGGCAUAUCAGGAAUUUCGUCUUUACGCGGGAGGUUUCCCGCAUUUCUGGUGACUCCGUCAACGGAGAUGACUUCUCUGACGAAGAUGACUUCUCUGGCGACGUAGACUUCUCUGACGAAGAUGACUUCUCUGGCGACGUAGACUUCUCUGACGAAGAUGACUUCUCUGGCGACGUAGACUUCUCUGACGAAGAUGACUUCUCUGGCGACGUAGACUUCUCUGACGAAGAGUGAUUUCUCUGGUGGGUGAAAUUCCUCUGGUAAGAAUGAUUCUUCUGACCAGCUUGACUCCUCUGGUGAGGAUGGUUUCUCUGAUGGGUAUACUUCUUCUGUCAUAUUCGUCCCGCUGAUGAGGUCGAUUCCUCUGAUCUGUAUCCUUUCCCUAUUCUGCACAUAUUACUCCUCAUCAACCACUCCCCCCUCUAGUCUGGUUGAACCGGGUAUUCUUCGCGUUCAACCAAUGGAGUAUUGUGAAGACCAACACUAGGCUGUUUUCCUUGAUCCCUGCAAAUCAUGAAGAUAUAAGCACUUCUAAUAUUAUAUGAAAACAAAUGUGAGCCCUGUAAAUUACUCUUUGGUGUUUUUGUUACUCCCACCCCUGGUCUGGCUAGUUCACUCUGGCAUAGUGCAACUAGUCAGAGGAUUCGCCCGCGUGGAUGACGUCACCUGCAUUAAAUGCCUGCCCGAUCUACAGUGCUUUUCCCGUACCCCGAGGUUACUUUUUAACCUUUGCAACCUUUCGCCUCCCCGUAGGGAUUUUCAGCCGUUGAUUCAUUUCCAUAGGGCACGUGUCGUCCAUCCCGUAUGUUGGUAGUUGCCCGCGUACAUUUUUACUUAGUCGAUUCGAACUCCCGUUUUUCACUAUUCUUUUUCUCUGAUUUUCUCGAACUCCUUCAUCUGCAAAUUCCGGCGAUUCUCCCUCCUGUUCCGGUGUACCUUCAGCGACCCUUCCGCUCCGGCAUUUACAGUCAAACCUUAUUUGACCUAGGUAAUUCGCAUACCCUCCUCUCCCAAUUCUUGUGAUUAGUUGUAGCGUAGUGGAGUAAUUAUUGGUGCUCUGAUUGAGCGUGCUAGAAACCCUAGGAUUGACAUUUCCGGUGAUGGCCUCCACUUCCGCUCCUCAACCCUCGUGUUCGCCCUCUCCUUCUUCCCGAACUUCUUCAUCUUCCUCUCCCCAACUCCAGGAUCUUGAUAACUUCCCUUCCCCCUCUGCCUCUUAUGACUCUCAAACUGUCCCCAGUUCUUCUCAGCCUAAGAAAAGGGGUAAGAAGACCCCCCAACCCCCAAAGCGUGUUCCUGAAUCCCUCCUUGGCGUCGCGGCGGUUAAUAAAUUGGAAAGCAAGUGUCGACACCCCGAAGGUUUAAAAUUCGAGGCCUUCUCUAAAGGUUCAACACCUCCCGAGAGCCUUCGCCACCCCAGGGUAAUAGUCAUCUGGCAAGCCCAAAUAGACGCUGGCCUAAGGCUUCCUCCUCCUACCCUUCUGGUUGAUGUCUGCAACCAUUUUCGUAUCCCUUUUUUUCAAGUCGCUCCCUCUGCCAUCCGAAGACUAUAUGCCUUCCAUAUCCUUUGCCGAGCCCACGGUGUUAAGGACACCGCCAAACUGUUCUGUCAGACCCAAUCUCUCCGUAUGCAGGACAAUCCCUUGUAUAGCUUUGCGGGUCAUCGAAGAUGUCCUACUUCUUUUCUUUCCUCUCUAAAUUCUUCUGAUGGCGGCUUUUUGAGCUAUUAUUGUUAUGUGCGCACCCUUUUCGGCACCUGGCGCGAUUAUCAUGUUCGGGAACUAGAAUGGCAUAAUCCUCGGACUACUUAUAGACCAGCCUCCCUAGAAGCCCCCUCGAUCUCUGACUUGGGGGUCAUAGCCCGCCUGAAUGCUAUGAACAAAGCCCAGCCCUUAGACUGUAAAUACCUUGCUGAGAACAAUUCGGCUCUGGCAUACAAUGGCCUGUUUCCCCUAUAUCCCAAGAAAUCAAUAGGUAAAGAAUAUGAAUUAGAAAAUACAUUAACUUUUGUUACCCUGAUUUUAAAGAUGUGGAAUUUUAAUUUGCAGACAUGUCUUGGAGAAAGAAAUGCGGGGACAAUUUGCCUAUCGUUGCUUCUCCUGUUCCCAGUGGGGAGCAUGGCUCGGGGGAUUCUGCUUCCCGAACCGCUCCCUCAGAACACAGCUGGGCCGAGCUGGUCAUCAUUCCCCCUGUGAUAGAGGUCCCAGAGGGAAUACGGAAGCCUCCGCGCGUUUGAUGCCGAGGAGGUUGACGCGGGUAGCCUUGUUCACAGGCGCGGACGCCCCAGUACUGGUGAUACAUCUGGUGCCGGUGAAGAAGAUGUCCAGAUUGUGGACAUUACCGAUGAAAUUCCCUCGCCUGAUUCGGUCCCGGGUGUCACCCUCACCGAGCUUUCAAAGAAGAGGAAGAGAGGUUCUCUGAUUUCCGUAGGUGAGAAGGAGAAGCAAGAGAGCCUGAAGAAGGCCGGCAAGUCUCAAGAACCAUCGAAGAAGUCUGCUGGUGGUUCGAAGGUCCUCUCGUCUGCAGUGGAAAAGGGCAAGGGGCCAGCGAAGAAGUCUGCUGGUGGUUCUAAGGUUCCCCCUUCUGCCGGGGGAAAGGGCAAGGGCAAAGCUGUUGUGCCCCCUGCUGAUGAAUCAGAGGAUAUCGUUCCUGGGCCGAUUUCGAGUUUGUCAGGGCAGGGGCUGAUUGAUGCUUUGAUAGCUCGUGUCCACUCAAAGGACCAGGAGAAAGUGGAGCAGUUGUCCCGACCAGCUUUGGCUAUUCAGCUAUGUCAAUUAGCUCUUCAGGUACCCUGCAUCUUAUAUUUUGGUUGUAAAGAUUUAAGUUACUAACCUCUUUAUUGUUCUGUCGGAAUUCCUUUUGCAGGUGGAGUCGCGGCUGUGGGGAGCUGUUAAGUGCAUUCAUGACUAUGAAAUGUCAGAGAAAGAGAGAGAGAAGGAGCAAGCGGACGUCGCCAAGCGCGAUGAUGAUGUCGCUGGAGUGGUGGAACGUCUAAGUAAGGCUGAGGCAGAAAUUGCUGAGUUGAAGGCUCAGUUGGCCCAAUUGGAAGUGGAGAAGUCCUCCCUGGUUUCCGAAUUGACCAGGACGACCAAGGAGGGUCAUGAGAGCCUUGCUAGGUUCAAGGCUGGAUAUGAGGAAGCCUACAAGGCGACUCGGCGCGAUUGGAAGAGAACGCUUGUGGAAGCGCAGAAUCGUGCCUACGUCCUGGGGGCGCGAGAUCAGCGCCUGGAGUAUUUCUUGUCUCCGCAGGGUCAACACUUUCUGGGGUUGAUGCUGGAAGGUACCUUGGCAGCCUUCAAGCGGACUCAAGAAUACCUGGAAGAUUUCGGACCCCUCUUUGCCUAUGUGAUACAGCAGUCCGCCUCCAAGGCGUUAGAAAUGGCAGGGGCGACCUCGGAGCAGCUCGCUACCCUGGAUUUGCAUGCCCUGAUGGAUAACCUCAAAGAUGAGGAAAUAAAUGAACUGAUGGGGAUCCCCGCAAAUUCUCCGAAGAAACCAGAAUGGUGGUAUCCAGUUGGUGUUUCACGAAACCAACACCUAAACUAUAAGACAUAAAGUGUAGACUAUACCUAGUAGCGUUGAUCGGAAAGAGUAAUAAUCGGAGAAUUGAACACGAGAGCAAAAAUGUAGCUGUUGUAUUCAAAAACAAGUGAUAGCGUAAAAAUGUAAUACACGAGCACGAGGCCUAUUUAUAGGGUACAGGGAAGGGUAAAAUAGUAAAUUUGGUGUCAGCGCAUGCACUUGGCGUGGUCGAAGGGUAUAUCAGGAAUUUCAUCCUCACGCGGGAAAAUCCUCCGCGUCUUUGGCGAUCCUUCUGAAAGUGGCGACCUCUCUGGCACGGAUGACUUCCCUAGCAUGGAGGACUUCUCUGACGUGGAUGACUUCUCUGGCGUGGAGGACUUCUCUGACGUGGAUGACUUCUCUGGCGUGGAGGACUUCUCUGGCGAUGAUGACUUCUCUGAGGAGGAUGACUUCUCUGAUGAUGGUAACUUCUCUGAUGGGAUUGACUUCUCUGGUAAGUGUCUCUCUUCUGCCAUAUUCGUCCCGCCCGUGGGGGUCGAUUCCUCUGAUUUAUAUUCUUUCCCUACUUCUACACAUAUUACCCCUCAUCAACCACUCCCCCCUCUAGUCUGGUUGAACCGGGUACUCUUCGUGUUCAACCAUUGUAGUAUUGUUAAAGCUGGUGCUAUGAUGUUUUUCCUGAUCCCUGCAAAUCAUGAAUAUACGAAAACCUUUAUACUAUAAGAAAGCAAAGAUAAACCCCAUAAGUUAUUCCCCAGUGUUUUUGUUAGUCCCACCCCCUGGUCUAACUAGUUCACUCUGGAUCAGUGCAACUAGUCAGAAGACUCGCCCGCAUGGGUGACGUCACCCGCAUUAAAUGCCUGCCCGAGCUACAGUGCUUUUCCCGUACCCCGAGGUUAUCUUUUUAACCUUUGCGUCCUUUCGUCUUUCCGUAGGAAUUUUUAGCCGUCGAUUUAUUUCCGUAUGCCACGUGUCGUCCAUCCCGCAUAUUGGUAGUUGCCCGCGUAUAUUUUUACUUAGUCGAUUCGAACUCCCAUUUUUCACUAUUCUUCUUCUCCGGUUUUCUCAAACCUCUUCAUCUGCGAAUUCCGGCGAUUCUCCCUCCUGUUCCGACGUACCCCCAGCGACCCUUCUGCUCCGGUAUUUACAAUCAAACUUUAUUUGACCUAGGUAAUUCGCGUACCCUUCUCUCCCAAUUCUUGUGAUUAGUUGUAGCGUAGUGGUGUAAUUAUUUGGUGCUCUGAUUGAGCGUGCUAGAAAACCCUAGGAUCGGUAUUUCUGAUAAUGGCUUCCACUUCCGCUCCUCAACCCUCGCGUUCACCCUCUCCUUCUUCCCGAACCUCUUCAUCUUCUUCUCCCCAACUUCAGGAUCUUGAUAACCUCCCUUCCCCCUCUGCUUCUUACGACUCCAAAACUGUCCCCAGUCCUCCUCGUCCUAAGAAAAGGGGUAAAAGGACUCCCCUUCCCCCAAAGCGUGUUCCUGAAUCCCUCCUUGACGUCACGGCGGUUGAUAGAUUGGCCCGUAAAUGUCGUUACCCCGAAGGCUUAAAAUUCGAGGCCUUCUCUAAAGGUUCAACACCUCCCGAGAGCCUUCACCACCCUAGGGUAAUAACCAUCUGGCAAGCCCAGAUANUAAUUUUUGUUAUUGAAUAAUUUUAUUAUACUUUAUACAAAGUUAUUAAUAUAAUUUUAAAUUCAAGAUUUAUUGAUAAUUGACGUGAAUUAUUUUAUUUUAUUUUAAAAUAUAUUUUAUAUUUAUUUAAAUAUAUCGUUAAUUUCGAUGUUCGUCGUGCAUCGCACGAAUGGACGUUCUAGUAUUAAUUAAAAUGUAGAAAAAGGGUAUGAGCAUCUCCAAUAUAUAUACUCGAUUGUUAUAAUUCAAACAAAAUUACUCGAUUGUUAUCAUGAGGACUUAUGGCUAGGAAUAACUAAUAAAAUAACUUAUCUUUAUAAUUCAAACAAAAUUUGAACAGAUCCCUUAUGAUAAAGUUGUUGUUGGAAUCGCUCCAAGAAAUCAACUCGUCUGUUGACUCGUCAUUCACCAUCUCGUAGCAUUUGACUAAGAUUUUUGGUGAAUUUUGAUGGUUUAAUUGUAGUAUAUAGGUUUCUAUUUGAAGAAUUAUAUCUUGCAAUGUUUUCGUUUAAAUUUACUUUUAGUGAUUGAUUGGUUGUUGAUGUUUAGAAAAUGUGCACAAGUUAUUUGUGUUUGAUUUAUGGAAAAGCAAUUUGCUUUUGCUCCAUUUAGCAAGUGGUUAGACAUGCUAAUUAAGCUAGCUUUAUCUUUUUUGUCUUUCUGAAUUAAAGAAUUAAUAAAUUAUCAAAAAAGCUUUAUCUUUUUAGCCGUUGAUAAGAAAAGAAUAAUAUCAACAAAGAAUAAUAGUAAGAGGACAAGAAAAAAAAUAUAUACUGCAUUUUAAUUUGUAGUUAUUUAUUGUAUCAUAUAUUUUAUUGUAGAUAUUUUUUACAACUAUAACAAUCUAGAGACUUAUAAAAUCUAUGAAAACAUAAAUAAAUCAAUCCAACAAAAUCUCUUAAACUCUGAAUAGAAUUAAACAAUCCAUGGAAUUUGAUAGGUACAUAUUAUAAAAAGUUUGACAAAAUCCACAUAUUCCAUGCGUUUAGAGUCAAUUCCGAUUUUAUUUAAGUCUGAUCAACUUAGAUUUAAUUGGAUUAAAAUCAAUUAGUUCCUCCAAUCCAUAAUUGUUGGAACACAAAUACUCCUGUAAAAUUAGUUUAUACAAUAAAACCGGUUUCUACUUGAUCCGUAUCCAAUGAUCCUAACCCUACCUGAUCCGUAUCCAAUGACCCUGAUCCUAUAUGGAUCAUGUGAAACCUAGUUUUACAAAAAAAUUGGUUUUACCAUAGACCAUCUCUUAUUGGAAUAUGGCUGAUUAGUGAUAAAGCUAUCAUGUUCGUAGUAGAGAUAAAUUGAUAGGCGAAUUAUUACUUGUGUUCUUGGAUAAUUUGUCUAAAAUGGGUUCCUUCUUCGUAAUGCUAUUAGAAUAUUAAAUCUAGGUUGACGUCUACAUCUAGGUUAUAUUUUAAUAAGAGAAAUAGUUAGGUCUAGCGUCUACAACUGACUAUUGACAAAGUAAGUAGGAAUUGGGGUUCCGCUGCAUUCAUGGUAUCCUAUAACCGGUUGGUUAAUAAGGAUUAAUUUAUCAUUGCGUCGAUGAUCGCAGUUAUUAAAUUAGUAUGAAUUUAUUUGAGCCGAGUUACUUUUCUUCGAUUAAAUUCUAGUUGCAAUUUUUGUUAAUUUACUCGUUUUCAUAGUUGAUUAAGUAUUGUUCUCUAUGGUUCGACCCUGUUUGUUGCUAUACUAUUCUAAUUCUAGCUAUUGCAGGAAUUAUUUGGUAGUAGACAACGUCCACCAAGGAUGCAAAAAUCCAAAAGUGUUUUCAACAAGGUCAUAAUAGCCGAGGAUGCAAAAAUCAACCAAUUGAGAAGCCGAUCACGACACAGGUAUAUUUUCUUUUAAUUUAUUUUAACUGCUAUAUUCUUUAUGUACUUGACUAUCAAUUCAUUCUUUUUAGUUGAAGGGAAACGACGCAGGGUUCAUUAGAUGCUCUUGUUGGCAUCUAUGUUGCUGAAAAAGCCAGAAUCUAGUUCAAGUUCAAGGUACUUUAUGUUAGAUGCUCUUGUUGGCAUCUAUGUUGCUAUGUCUUGAUACGUAUUGUUUUUCGUUAGAUGCUCUUGUUGACAUCUAAUUUAUUACUAUUUAUAUUCGGACACAUAAAUUGAUGACCAAAUUUGGGGAGGAUCAAAUUGGAGCCUUUUGUAAUAAAACAAGGAGGAGGUGUUGUAUCAUAAAGUUCCAUAUGAUUAUAGCUUCCAUAAUCGCAAAUUCAGAUUACUCUCAUCAUCAUCAUCAUUUCCUAAAAUAUUUGAAUUGAAUAAUUGCAAGAAUUUUAAAAUAAUGGUAAAAAAAAUAUUAGGAUAUUUGAGACACUACUUAUAUAAGCUUAUUUUUUUCUUAAAAUGAAUUAAGACACUUGAAAUGGAACAACUUGAAAAGAAAAACAAAGACAGUCCCGAACAUAAAUGAGCUGACAAGUCUAGUAGUACUACUUUCAAAUUUUAUUUUUCUAUUCAACAAACUUCACUAAACGAGUUCGAACGGAUACUUUCCAAGAAAUCCAAAUAACUCAAUAAAAUUGAACAUUAAAAGGGUACAAGGUAAGUGCUGCAGAAGUAACAUGCAUGUCCUUAAAUACAUGAAGGAUACAUAAAUGAAUUUUGAAUGUCUGAAAGAAUCUCAUAAACUGAUCACCUAAACAACUUGUGAGAGAAAACUGCAGCGUCUAUUUUCAAACACUAUAUACGACUGGACACUUAUUUGAUCCAGUUUUUUUUUUCCCAUGUGAAUGCCAAUAUUGUCACAACCACAAAUUUGCUAAAUGUAUCAUCAAAAUGCCAGUCAAUGUAACGAGAUAUUAUCCUACCACAAGUUGAUGGAUCGUUAGUUUAUCUCCACGAAGAGGCUGGCCUGCGGAUGCAAUCCUGCUUCUUUCAGCGACGAAGAUAACUUGUCUUGGCCAUAAACAGUGCGCGGGAAGUUGGAGACCAGGGUGUAGCCGUUGACUUCCAAGCAGCCUAAAGAGUCAACAUAGUCGUAUAAAGAUUGUAUUGUUGCUGUACAGUGAAACCUCCUCCCCUUGCGAUCCCCAGAUGGAAAACGUACUAAUACCUGAUUAGUUAAAGAUAAUAAAAAGCCAUCAGUCGAAGUAUAAUACACAGCAUCUAGGCAAUAGAAAUUGAACACGGUAAAGGAAAAAUAAACAAUCUGCCAAACAAGUUGGUGACUGAUGCUAACAGGAUCAGAUAUAGCUCGUUGAAGAUCAAUUUUACGUUAUUAGAUAUGAUUCUCUCAAACAAUCAGGAUGCAAAUAACUUUUUCCAUAUUGUUUAAUCAAUUGCCAAAUACACUAAAUAAAUAAAAUGGAUGAUUAACUUAAGCACAGACAGUAGUGCAAAGUACAAAACGGGAAAGUCUUGUGUGAGCCCGUCAGGUCGUGUACCAAUACCCAAAUCCAAACAACCAAAAAACAACUGAAUUUACAAAUAUGACACCAGAUAUGGAUUUGGAUCCAGAUAUGGGUAUUUUUUUGGUACAAAUUUAGUGGAAAGAAUACAGAAUAUGGGGCUUACUUGAGUGACAUCAGGUCCUUUCUCAGGUUCUGGACCUAGAGCCAAAGCUUUCUCCUCGCGUAUCUUAGCUAAUUCGGCUUCUCUCUGGGCAGCUUCUCGUGCUGCUCUUUCACGAGCCUCUUCCUCUUCCUUUCUUUUCCUCUCAGCUUCAGCAGCUUCACGUUCCAGUCGUUCCUGCUCUUCUUUCCUCUGGCGCUCACGGGCCUAGAACAGAGCAUUAACAAAAAGAAUUUAAGUGACAGUCCUACUAGACAGGUACAUAAACAACAGACCACAAGAGCAGACAGCAUUUAAAACAAAAGAACGAAAUUAUAGGAAAAAGCAUACUUGAUCGGCCUCAAGUGCUGCCUGAUAAGCAGCAUCCUGUUCCUCUCUGAGACGGAUAUUGGUUCUUCUUUCUUCAGCUUCUACCCUUGCUGAGACAAGAACAGGUGCACUUUCUUCAAGCACUCUCUGCAAUAUUGUUAACAAUUCUUCAGGAGAUUUCGGCCCCUCAACCUGCACAAGUUAAUUACAGUACAAGUGAAUAAAAUAUUACAUGAGACCCAGCUUAUGCAAUGACCAGAGGAGAAACAAAUAUGUGAGCAUUGGGGUAGUUCACAACCAGCACAGUGAUAACCAACUAACCAAGUUUGAAGAUCAAUAAAACAAAAGAACGAUAUGAAGUGUUUGGUAUACUAUUUCCCGUGAUUUAGACUAUUUAUCCUCCAACAACAUAACCUUACAUGGAUAUUCAAGCAACCAAAAAAAUGCUUCAGAACAAACAUCCCACUAUAUAUAAUCAAGUUUCACUUAGAGAAAUCUCCAGGGAUAGCAGAUAUGGAUAUUUAAAUUAUAUUGUGUAGAAAGGAUGAGAAAAGGUUGUGGGCCUUGUGGCAACAAAGCAUUUCACUUCAUAAAAGGCACUCAAAAAUAGCACACAUGCUGCCCUGCCCCAUUUGUAAGAGUGAUCAAAAGGGCUUUUUCUCAUCUGUGAUUUUUCCUACAAUCUAAAUAAGAGUAAAUGAUUGCAAUGCUACCAGUUGAAACACUCACACACGAGAUAAUUUCAGUAAGGACGUUUGGUUGAUGUUUUGGGAGUCUUUUUGUAAAAACAGUUAUGGGAAAUGUUUAGGGCUGUAAAAAUUAAUUGCGAUUUGCCACCUCACAAUAGCCCACCAAGAAUAAGGAUAGGGAAAUAUUAAUUUAAUAGCAGAGUUCCCACUACAACAAACCCCAUCCACAUCCACACUUAGAAGCUGCUAUUUCCAAAUGAACUAAAAGCAAGAAAAGAACUACGCCAUCUCACAUGCCAGAGGUCAAAGCUGAAACACUCCCCUCUUAGCCAUUCCCCUAGGCCAACCUCUAUCUUCCCUUCAAUUGGAUGCCUCAUAAGAAGCAUCUCUGAUGUGUUGCCUCUAUUCCAUUUAAGGAUGUCAUGUAAUAUUGAUCAUGUAGGUGAGACGACAACACAGUUUAAAUCUUAGCCUUUCAAAGAUAUUAGCAUAUUUCCAUCUCAUCUUCAUGAAGGGAUAAAAGAACCUCAAAAAUAGAGCAUAUCACAAAUACAAUACAAAGUUCAAGACAAAUAAGUACGAAAAUAUCAAUAAUACAAUAGUGAUAUACUUGUAUAACCCAACGGAACACAUCUGAGUAACAAUAAGACGAUUAACUGAACCAGCUUCAUGUAACACACGAUACAAAAAGAAUUUAGAGGAUAGCAACUCUUGUAAAAAAAUACACUCUUAGUACCAAACUUAAAGAUGAUAAAAUACCCCUAGUCACAUUCCUUUGCCUGCUAUCCAGUGACAUGUUGCAAUUCAAUGAAUUCCAAACACAAACGUCCAAUAAAUUGUUAAUAUAUUUUACCCAAUCAAAUUCAGGAAAUGUCUGGUUUCUCAUUCAAGCACCCAGAAAAACAGAAAUCACUUCAGACACAUUUCAGUACUAUUCGACAAUCAUGAAAAUGAUCAAAUUUCAAGUAGACACAAUGAACAAGAGAGAAGAAUAAUACCGGUUGCAGCAAUGCAAUCCUCUGGUUCGUAGCGGCCAUAACAACAGCACAGAAAGGGUAUCUCGACGCCUUCAAACUAUUACUCAUCUUGAACCCUUCACUAGCCUUCACACUCCCACCCCACGACACAAAAUUCUCAUUCAAAAACGCCGCCAACAUCUCAUUGCAAAGAGUGCCUUCACAGAACGCCGGCGUAUCGGGAUGCUCCGGCGAGUGCAAGUAAACAAACAGCAGCUUAUAUUCGUGUCGAGACCUCUGCAGCGCGUCCAUGAAACCCUCAGUGACAAAAUGCGGCCUCACCCUCCCAUAAUCCCGCUCAAAGCUAGCUACAAAAUCCAUGGCCUCGGAAACCGACGGCGACACCGUCACCAGCGGCGUCGUUCCGGCCCGCGACGCACCAGCCAGUCCAACCAUCCCAAGGGAGUAAGACAAAACGCCGCCGGCAGCCCACAUACCGAGCCCAAUUGCACUAGAAAUUAACCCUAGGCUGCCGGUGAUUAUGGAAAACGGGAGCGUGACUAAUUUCCACGCUAAUCCAGGGGGCUGAUUACUGCCGUUCGGGGCAAGAACGAGACCUUCAUCGAGAGGCUCUCGAUUAGGGCGCGCGGCGGUGGUGGGGGCGGCGGAGGCGUCGGAGGAGGACGGGCGGCCGCCAUCGGGGGCUGUAAUAGACGAGAUGGCCAAUUCGAGGUCCCAAUUGUGAGCGGAGAGAAUCUCGGUGCACAAAUCGGCGUCUUCUAAACCCGUGAUUGCUUGAAAAUACGCCAAUUUGUCAGCCACGUCUCCCAUUUCGCGAGCAGCAGUGUCUGUCAGUGCGGUUAUGCCAAGAGUGGGAGGAAGUGGGGUGAUUGGGGGAGGUGGGAGCUGAAAAAGGGGAAUUUGAGAUUUGGGAUCGAAGAAUUUGGAAGUUCGAAGUGUUGGAGGAGGAGAUGGGGAGAAGGGGUUUUGAUUAUGGGCGACGGAGAGAGUGAGGGAUGGCGAAAUGACGGUAAUGUCGGCGGCGAGGGACGAAAUUACGAAACUGCCAUUGCCAUGUUGGAGACUAGAGAGAGGGGAGGUGGUUAUUAAAUAAAUAAAAUUAUUAUACUAGUAAAUAAAUAAAUAAUUCAUACUACACUAUGUAUGAUUGCAAUUUGCAGUUUGCAAAUUGCUUCUCUUGGGAAAAUGAGCAUUUAACAUUAUGGGCAGGCUCUAGUCCCAAAACGAUAGUAAAACGGCAAAUUUACUUUUCAUUAUGUUAGGUUUAAUAAGUGAAAAGUAAAAUAAUAAAUAAAGAAAAAAAAUUGCUCCCUCCGUCCGCCAAAAGUAUUCCACAAUUACUAUAUUUGGCGUCCGUAAAAAGUAUUCCACUUUCCUUUUUAAGCCAUGGUCCCACCAUCCACCUUUAUAUUUUAUCCUUACAAACACUCUUUAUUUACAAAAAACUCACCCCAAAUUCAAUCUCAACCACACAUCUCCUAAAGUGGUGGGACCCUUUCUCCACUACAUCAACAUCAUCACACAUUUUAUUAAACUUCGUGCCCGGCCAAAGUGGAAUACUUUUGACGAACAGAGGGAGUACAAUAUAAAUAAAAGUAAUAAAUUUCGUGGAAGGGUGUAAAAAAAAUACAAUUCAUAUUUGGAGAUAGUAUUUUUAACUCUCUCAUUUCCUAGGCUGCAAGCCUGCUAGGAAUAAAACUUGAUAUAUUAAAUAAAUUUAGAUAUGUAAUUAUAUAAAAUAAAAUUUUUUUCAAGCUUGAAAUCAUAAAAAUCUAAUUAAUUUUAUUAUUCUAUUAAAUAAAUUUUGAUUUUUUUUAAUGGCAAAUUCAUAAUAUUUUAUUCGAAAUUCAUAACAACACAAUUGUUUAAUACUCCCUCCGUCCCGGCCAAGACGCUACAUUUGUUUUUCGGCACGGGNACAGCAUUUAAAACAAAAGAACGAAAUUAUAGGAAAAAGCAUACUUGAUCGGCCUCAAGUGCUGCCUGAUAAGCAGCUCCUGUUCCUCUCUGAGACGGAUAUUGGUUCUUCUUUCUUCAGCUUCUACCCUUGCUGAGACAAGAACAGGAGCACUUUCUUCAAGCACUCUCUGCAAUAUUGUUAACAAUUCUCAGGAGAUUUUGGCCCCUCAACCUGCACAAGUUAAUUACAGUACAAGUGAAUAAAAUAUUACAUGAGACCCAGCUUAUGCAAUGACCAGAGGAGAAACAAAUAUGUGAGCAUUGGGGUAGUUCACAACCAGCACAGUGAUAACCAACUAACCAAGUUUGAAGAUCAAUAAAACAAAAGAACGAUAUGAAGUGUUUGGUAUACUAUUCCCGUGAUUUAGACUAUUAUCCUCCAACAACAUAACCUUACAUGGAUAUUCAAGCAACCAAAAAAAUAGCUUCAGAACAAACAUCCCACUAUAUAUAAUCAAGUUUCACUUAGAGAAAUCUCCAGGGAUAGCAGAUAUGGAUAUUUAAAUUAUAUUGUGUAGAAAGGAUGAGAAAAGGUUGUGGGCCUUGUGGCAACAAAGCAUUUCACUUCAUAAAAGGCACUCAAAAAUAGCACACAUGCUGCCCUGCCCCAUUUGUAAGAGUGAUCAAAAGGGCUUUUUCUCAUCUGUGAUUUUUCCUACAAUCUAAAUAAGAGUAAAUGAUUGCAAUGCUACCAGUUGAAACACUCACACACGAGAUAAUUUCAGUAAGGACGUUUGGUUGAUGUUUUGGGAGUCUUUUUGUAAAAACAGUUAUGGGAAAUGUUUAGGGCAGUAAAAAAUUAGUUGCGAUUUGCCAACUGACAAAAGCCCACCAAGAAAAAGAAUAGGGAAAUAUUAAAUUAGUAGCAGAGUUGCCACCACAGUAAACCCCAUCCACAACCACACUUAGAAGAGCUCCUGUUUCCAAAUGAACUAAAAGCAAUAAAAGAACAAUGUCUUCUCACAUGCCAGAGGUCAAAGCUGAAAUACUCCCCUCUUAACCAUUCCCCUUGGCCAACCUCUUUUUUCCCUUCAAUUGGAUGCCUCACAAGAAGCAUCUCUGAUGUGUUGCCUCUAUUCCAUUUAAGGAUGUAGUGUAAUAUUGAUCAUGUACGUGAGACGAUAACACAGUUUAAAUCUAAGCCUUCCAAAGAUAUUAGCAUAUUUUCCAUCUCAACAUCAUGAAGGGAAAAAAAUAACCUCAACAAUAGAGCAUAUCACAAAUACAAUACAAAGUUUCAAGACAGAUAAGUCGAAAAUAUCAAUAAUACAAUAGUGAUAUACUUGCACAACCCAAGGGAACACAUCUGAAUAACAAUUAGACGAAUAACUGGACCAGCUUCGGGUAACACAUAAUACAAAAAGAAUUUUAGAGGAUAGCAACUCUUGUAAAAAAAAUGUAGUCUUAGUACCAAAAUCAAAGAUGAUUAAAUACCCCUAGUCACAUUCCUUUGCCUGCUAUUCAGUUACAUGUUGCAUUUCAAUGAAUACCAAACACAAACGUCCAAUAAACUGUUAAUAUAUUUUACCCAAUCAAAUCCAGGAAAUGUCUGUUUUCUCAUUCAAGCACCCAGAAAAACAGAGAUCACUUCAGACAUAUUUCAAUACUAAUCGACAAUCAUGAAAAUGAUCAAAUUUCAAGUAGAGACAAUGAACAAGAGAAGAAUAAUACCGGUUGCAGCAACGCAAUCCUCUGGUUCGUAGCGGCCAUAACAACAGCACAGAAAGGGUACCUCGACGCCUUUAAACUAUUACUCAUCUUGAACCCUUCACUAGCCUUCACACUCCCACCCCACGACACAAAAUUCUCAUUCAAAAACGCCGCCAACAUCUCAUUGCAAAGAGUGCCUUCACAGAACGCCGGCGUAUCGGGAUGCUCCGGCGAGUGCAAGUAAACAAAAAGCAGCUUAUAUUCGUGUCGAGACCUCUGCAGCGCGUCCAUGAAGCCCUCAGUUACAAAAUGCGGCCUCACCCUCCCAUAAUCCCGCUCAAAGCUAGCUACAAAAUCCAUGGCCUCGGAAACCGACGGCGACACCGUCACCAGCGGCGUCGUUCCAGCCCGCGACGUACCAGCAAGUCCAACCAUCCCAAGGGAGUAAGACAAAACGCCGCCGGCAGCCCACAUACCGAGCCCAAUUGCACCAGAAAUUAACCCUAGGCUGCCGGUGAUUAUGGAAAACGGGAGCGUGACUAAUUUCCACGCUAAUCCAGGGGGCUGAUUACUGCCGUUCGGGGCAAGAACGAGACCAUCAUCGAGAGGCUCUCGAUUAGGGCGCGCGGCGGUGGUGGGGGCGGCGGAGGCGUCGGAGGAGGACGGGCGGCCGCCAUCGGGGGCUGUAAUAGACGAGAUGGCCAAUUCGAGGUCCCAAUUGUGAGCGGAGAGAAUCUCGGUGCACAAAUCGGCGUCUUCUAAACCCGUGAUUGCUUGAAAAUACGCCAAUUUGUCAGCCACGUCUCCCAUUUCUGCGAUGCAGCAGUGUCUGUCAGUGCGGUUUAUGCCAAGAGUGGGAGGAAGUGGGGUGAUUGGGGGAGGUGGGAGCUCGAAAAAGGGGAAUUUGAGAUUUGGGAUCGAAGAAUUUGGAAGUUUGAAGUGUUGAAGGAGGAGAUGGGGAGAAGGGGUUUUGAUUAUGGGCGACGGAGAGAGUGAGGGAUGGCUAAAUGACGGUAAUGUCGGCGGCGAGGGAAGAAAUUACGAAACUGCCAUUGCCAUGUUGGAGACUGGAGAGAGGGGGGAGGUGGUUAUUAAAUAAAUAAAAUUAUUAUAAAUAAAUAAAUAAUUCAUAUAAUUAAUUACCCUAUGUAUGAUUGCAAUUUGCAGUUUGCAAAUUGCUUCUCUUGGGAAAAUGAGCAUUUAACAUUAUGGGCUCUAGUUUUCAAGGAAGAAGAGAUGGCUGUGGUUGUGAGUGAUUUCUUUGCUUCGCUAUUUCAUUCCAGCUCGCCGAGCAAUGAGUGUAUCGAUAAAGUGACUGACACGUGUUCUACUUUUCUGGGCAAUCAUCCAACUGCCGAGUUGACUAAGCCCUUUACGGCAGAGGAAGUUCGACGAGCUUUGUUCCAAAUGCAUCCUCAUAAGGCCCCCGGACCAGACGGCUUCCCUCCCUACUUCUUCCACAAAUUUUGGGGUGAGAUCGGUGAAGCAGUCACUAACGAUGUUCUCCGUGUUCUUGAUGGACGUGACAGCAUCCGUCAUUGGAACAAAACGCUCAUUGUGCUCAUCCCAAAAACAAAAGAACCGAAAGAGUUGAAGAAUUUCAGGCCCAUCAGCCUUUGCAACACUACCUAUAAACUUGUGGCUAAGGUUCUUGCUAACCGCAUGCGAACAGUGCUGGGUUGGGUUAUUGACGAUUCUCAGAGCGCAUUCAUUCCCGGGAGGCUGAUUUCUGAUAACAUCAUUCUUGGCUAUGAAUGCAUGCACUGGAUGAAGAAUAAAAAACAUGGAAACGAUGGCUACGCAGCAGCUAAGCUUGAUAUGAGCAAGGCUUUUGAUAAAGUGGAAUGGAGGUUUCUGAGGGCGAUGAUGUCUAUGCUGCGUUUUCCACCACUUUUGAUUGAUUUGGUUUUACAAUGUGUUAGUACGGUGGAGUUCUCUUUUGUUAUUAACUGCAAAGUUUAUGGUUCUCUUAUUCCGUCCCGUGGUUUGAGACAAGGUUGCCCUUUAUCCCCGUUCCUCUUUGUUAUUUGCGCCCAGGGUUUCUCCUCUCUUCUUCGUGGCUUUGAAAAUCAGGGUUUGCUCAGCGGAAUAACUAUGGCCUGACAUUGUCUGUCUAUCACUAACCUCUUCUUUGCCGAUGAUAGUCUUAUUUUUUUCCGGGCGAAUGAAGAAGGUGCUAAAAGCUUAGGCGACGUCUUACAUUCUUAUGAACAUGCCUCAGGACAAACGAUCAACCUCGAAAAAUCCACGAUUUGUUUUAGCCCAAAUAUGUCUCUGGCUUGUAUUGAUAAAGUGACGACAACCUUGAGUAUCAGAGAAACAGCAGGUCAUUCCCUCUAUUUGGGUUUGCCAACUUCAAUUCCAAGGAAAAAAAAAACUCCAGUUUGAGUACUUGCGAGAUAGAGUGACCAAGAAAUUUGACGGGUGGGAAAACAAGUUUUUCUCUGCAGGAGGAAAAGAAACCUUGAUUAAAUCUGUUAUCCAAUCUAUCCCUACGUAUGCAAUGGCUGUCUUUUGCAUCCCCGUUGGUAUUUGUGCUGAUAUUGAAAAAUCUUGUGCUAACUUUUGGUGGGGUGAUAGUGCUGAAGGCCGAAAACUCCACUGGGCAAGAUGGGAUAAAUUGUGUUUGGCAAAGUCUCGUGGCGGCUUGGGUUUCCGUCGUUUUGUUCAGUUCAAUCAGGCUCUCCUUGCGAAACAGGUUUGGCGACUUAUCAAGCAUCCAGAAUCCCUUAUUUCUCGUGUCUUAAAGGCUCGUUAUUUUCGUGAUUGUGAUAUUAUGAAAGCGAGUAUCUCUUCCAACUGCUCAUUUGUGUGGAGAUCUUUUUGUUGGGGAAGAGAGCUUCUGGAGAAGGGUUUGAGAUGGAAGGUGGGCAAUGGCAAGAAAGUGUCGGUUUUCCAUGAUAAAUGGAUCCCACGAAGUCGCGCCUGGGCAGAGUCGGUGGAGUCGACACCAGUGGAGGCUGAUUUGAAGGUGUCGGAUCUCAUUGCGAGAGAUGGUACUUGGGAUAAAGACAAACUGCAUGGCAUUUUUCCUGAUUUUUUUGUGUCCACCAUCUGCUCGAUGAAACUACCAAUUGACAACAAAGAUGAUUCUAGAUUUUGGAUGUUCGAUGAAAAGGGUAGGUUCAGUGUGAAGUCUGGCUAUCUUUGCGCUACAGACUUUUUUGUCCCACUACAAGACACUUCCGACGACAAGAUGGUGAAAUGGUGGAAGGAGUUCUGGACUUUGCGGAUUCCGCCGAAGGUGCUUCACUUUGGUUGGAGAGCUCUUCAUGACCUUAUUGCUAUGAACCAGAAUCUUUGUGCUCAUCAUGUUCCCAUCAUUCCUAUUUGUCACUGGUGUCGCAGAGAAUGGGGAUCCACAACCCAUGGCCUUUUAUGGUGUGAUCGGGUUCGCCAAGCAUGGAAGAAGACUGAAUUUUGGGCGAUUAUCUGUUCUUUUAAACACCUUGGUUUACAGGAGCUGUGUUCGGUGGUGAAACAAGAGCUGGGAAUUGUUGGCUUUGAGAGAUGGCUGUUCUUUUUAUGGUUAGCAUGGAAAUUCCUGUGUGACCUCAAACAUGAUAAGAUUCCGGCUAGUAGUGAGCUUGAUCUGUGUAUUGGUGAAAGAAUGCUGGACUCAUAUCAUUUGGCAAGGGAGCAGGUUGUUCUGGAACUCCAUAUCCUUCCAGAGGAGGGCACCCGCCAGUGGUUUCCACCUCCUAGAGGGCGUUUCUUCGUGUGGACGUCGACGUUGCUCUCCGGGAGGAAGGGGUGAGAUCUGGUAUGGGUUUCAUUGUCCGUGACUUCCAGGGGAGGACUAUUUUGGCCGGGUGUCAAACCAUUGGUUUUUCAGAAACAGUUCUUAUGGGCGAAUUACACGCGAUUUUGCUUGCCAUUGGCAGCUGCUUGGAACAUGACACGGGCCCUGUGGUGGUUUAUUCUGACUCCCUUCUUGCGACUCACGUGCUUUCCGAUAAGAAUCAAGGGUCUGACUCACUGUGUGAUGAUCUUUGGGAGGUCUUCGCACAUGCUCGUCAACAUGUGGUGGUUGAUUUCUUUCAUAUGCGCCGAGAGGCUAAUCGUGCGGCCCAUGAGCUCGCUCGACUUUCUCUUUCUUUCACGGAUGCUAUUUUCUGGAAGGCCGAUUUUCCAAAUUGGCUUCUAGACAUUGUAAUUUCCGACUCUUCUUAAUAUAACUUGUUCUUUUCGUCAAAAAAAAACAUUAUGGGCUCUAGUCCCAAAACGAUAGUAAAACGGCAAAUUUACUUUUCAUUUACUCAUUUCUGUCGCGAAAUAUGAUUCAUUUAUUUGGGGCACAAAAUUUNNNNNNNNNNNNNNNNNNNNNNNNNNNNNNNNNNNNNNNNNNNNNNNNNNNNNNNNNNNNNNNNNNNNNNNNNNNNNNNNNNNNNNNNNNNNNNNNNNNNNNNNNNNNNNNNNNNNNNNNNNNNNNNNNNNNNNNNNNNNNNNNNNNNNNNNNNNNNNNNNNNNNNNNNNNNNNNNNNNNNNNNNNNNNNNNNNNNNNNNNNNNNNNNNNNNNNNNNNNNNNNNNNNNNNNNNNNNNNNNNNNNNNNNNNNNNNNNNNNNNNNNNNNNNNNNNNNNNNNNNNNNNNNNNNNNNNNNNNNNNNNNNNNNNNNNNNNNNNNNNNNNNNNUCUAUAUUUAAUUUUAUUAUUCUAUUAAAUAAAUUCGUGAUUUUUUUUUAAUGGCAAAUUCAUAAUAUUUUAUUCAAAAUUCAUAACAACACAACGGAUUGAGCACUAUAUAUACUUUCUCUGUCCAUAACAAAAAUUUCUAAGAGUGAAUAACAAAAGUUUUAAAAUGAAAUUGUUGAGUAUAUAUUGAAAGUGGUGAAAAUGUGUUAUAAUAUUGAAAGUGAUAAAAAGGUGUAGAGGGAAAAUAAAAGAAAUAUGCAAUUUCAACUUCUUUUUGUAAAUAUUACCUACACAAUACAAACAACUAUUUAAUUCAGUUUCUCAUAAUAAACCCUUACACAAUGCCAACAGAAUACAGACACAAACUUGCUAAACUGUAUCAUGAUAUCAUAAUAUAUCAUCACACUAUCUAUGUUGCAAAAGAGUUAAGUCAAGAUUAGAGAAGUUCUUACUAAACUCUUCAUGAUUUAAUGGCUUCUCAUUGGGCCGUGGACGCCAAGACGAUCCUCUGUUCCAAAAUUCGCGUUUCAUCUUCAAUCCUCUAUGGCGAAAUCCCAACUGUUGUUACAUUUAAGAAACGAGGCCUUGUUGCAGUCCUGCUCCAUUUACCGGCAUAGAAACACCGUGGACUAAUCCGGCAGAGACAGCUCACUGAACCUCCUUAAUCAAAGGCUUACCUCCUCUUUCUGUUACCUCCUCCAUUCUUGGAGCACUUCUUUUGUUCUGCGCGUAUUCCAUGGCAGAGGAUUUCUCCGUGUUCAAAAUGGCUUCCAGUGUAGUCCACGCUUCAGAUGGCUGCUCGUUCACCCAGCACAUGAUGAAGUAGAUUUUCCGGUCAGCAGACUUAAGCUUGCCCUUUAGUUCUGCCUUUUUCUUCUUGAGCAGUUUCUCUGACUUGAGCUCUCUCUCUGCAGUCUGGAUCAGCCUCUGCAUAUCGCAUAGCGAGCAGAUCAAAGCAUUACGUCCGAGAUGAAGUAGAUGAAUCACGUCAUCUAUAAGCCUCAACCCGAAUUGUAAACCACCCAUGUGCUUGUAUGCUGGGGAGCAUGUUUCUUCCAAGCAAUGAGAUAACACUUCCGAUACAGUUUCAGGCUGCCUUUGAUCCAAAACAGAAGAUACACUCAGCACCACUGUCGCUGAUUCCAAGGGAUCAGCUUUCCAGUCUCCAUUGUAAAGACGGAGGGUGAAGCAAUAAGAAUAUAUGAUAUCAACGAGGUGGAUAGCUAACAGAGGUGAAGGUCCAGAUGCAGUCAGUUUACUAACUGGUGGCAGAGGAGUCUCGGGUCCUGGAGGGAAUUCCUCCAAUUCAUCAGUGCUUGCAUCGUUAUCAUGCUCCCGCGAUUCCUCUUUCAUGACCUGUUGAACUAGUUGUGUUCCAUUUGAACUGAGUGAUAUGUACUGGGCAGAAGGCCUUGACCACCAUGGAUCCCAUGGUUCAAUCAACUUACUGAGCUCUCCCGAGGCAAUAGCCCUCUCAAAACGUUUCCUUUCUUCAAGAGAUAGAUCAUUUAAACUUAUCGUACCACCUGCACGAACAAUUGCAAAUAUUUUUUCAAAAAGAAACAUUAGUAUCAGUUCAACUUGGGUUUGGCAUCUUUGCUGAGAAACUUAGUAUCGUAUAUACAUACCGGAAAUAAUCUUCUGAAUAGUCUCUUCUGACAAGGAUGAAUUCAACUCUGACACAAAUGAAAUUUAGUAAACAAUUAGAGAAACUGACUGGGGGGAAGAUUAAUGACAUUCAAAUAAUCGAACGUACAACAUAAAGAAUGUGGAACCAAUGCAAAACGCUUCAUGCACUAGAUAAUCAGAAUGACGGGAAAAAAUCAUUUAGAUUGAUCGCUUCAACAUCUUAAAGUGUUGAACAUGAUACUUUUAUCAAUGCACAUGGUUUCAAUUAAUACAAAUGCAAGCAUGAACCACUUAAAACCAGUUAUGGAGAUAUAAUAGUGGUAUAUGGAAGAAAACAAAAACUAUGCAAUCUCAGAUAAAAAAAAAAUUCAUGAAACUUAUGGUGAAAUAUAAUUAAACCACACAAGAUUAGUAAAGUCAUCUUCCAAACUCCCUGACUCAAAAUCAGCUAUCAUAACCCUCUUGGAUUAGCGCUUUAUGCAGUAAAUUUACCUUCAAGAUUAAAGGAGCAGACAAGCAAAAGUUGAAUAUUCUGGAUGAGGAUAAUAUAUACAGCAUAAUAAUUUGUUUCCAAGACAUGCACAACUUUAAGGAGGCAAAACUACUGGAAGAGAUGAUGAAGAGUGGGACCAACAUACCGUCUUCUUGGAAGCCAUCUGUCUCCUCUUCCUCAUGGAGUCGCUUAAGUAUAUCCAGCAUUUUAGCUUUACUUUCCUCAUCAGGUUGCAUUUGUUGCAGUCCUCCCAUUACAUUCUCUCUCAUAAAAGACUCAGUACAAUGUAGACUAUGAGACUGGGGAUACAAAAUACAAACAGUGAAGAUCCAAAACCGCAAAUGUGCAAUUAAUUUUUACGUGUGCCAUAUUUUGACACAUUGUAAAACUCGCUAGACAAGGUGAAGAGUAGAAGAAUCAUUUAGAAAAUCUAAUGUUAGGCAUAAAGUUGCAAAAUCCAAAUAAAUCAAUUACAUACUUCAAUUAUAAAUCCUAAAGAAUAAGUAAGUACCUUGUAACAUGGCAGAGAACAAUAACGAAUGUUGCAUCGAGGACAUGUAUACUGGGAAAAUUGCUUUUCACAUCUGCAAAUAUACACAUCAACCAAGGUCAUUUUAACAACUAUCUCUAAGUCUAUGACAAAUUCAGAUCUAGAAAAACACUUGAUACGGCUUUAAUACCACAAUAUAUACAAAACAGUUAUUUAAAAGUGGUAAAGAACAAAACAAGUGAAGUACUACUGCAUGUAAUCUAUGAAAUAACACUACAGUUUACAUCAUCCAUACAGCAUACAACGCCAAUGUGGCAUGUCCCUCUUGGACUAGUGAUAUCAGUUGGAAUAAAGUUCAGUUCUAGAGUAACAAAAGCAGUAGGAAUUAUACACAAUCGAGCUAACAGUAACCAUUUCCAAGAUCUCAAUUUGUUCUGGUUUUCAUUUUGGCUACCAAUGAUGAACGAUGCAUACUCAAGAGGCACACUAACACCCUACAGUUCUACUACAGGGAGAAGAUAUCUACCAUGCUUGAACAAAUUAAACCUAAAAUCAGAUUAAAAAAUUGUAGACGAAGGUAACAGCUAAGAAUCUAAUUCUAGACAACAAGAUAAACUAAUUGGCGCAAUAAAUCUACAGCGAAACAUAAAAACUGAAUUCGACAAGCAGAAAACUAGCUGAACUCACACGCGGCAGAUUAUGCGUGAGUUGGAGUUGAAAUUCGAAGUUCCAGAAGAUGCCUCUGAGUUUAUCACAGCGUCCGACGACAUCUCAGACUCCUGCAAAAUGAAGCGAAUUCUCCGUUUAGUUUUCAGAUACAACGAUUCCCGAGCCCGACGCUACGGCGGCAGAUACGACGACGGCAAGAGAAAUACGCCGGAGUUUUGAAUUAAUCUAUAUCUAUAUAAGCGUGAAGACCGGAGGGCGGAGGCGGCGCCGGCAGCAAGCGAACGGCGGCGAGGCGUCGGAGAGAAGAUGAAAACAAAAGCGAAUGUUUGAUUGAUUUUUUUUAAUGGAAGGCCAUGUUUGAUUGAUAAAGCCCAUUAUAUUGGAAAAAUAUUUAUUUGGGCUGGAUCACCAAAUUAANNNNNNNNNNNNNNNNNNNNNNNNNNNNNNNNNNNNNNNNNNNNNNNNNNNNNNNNNNNNNNNNNNNNNNNNNNNNNNNNNNNNNNNNNNNNNNNNNNNNNNNNNNNNNNNNNNNNNNNNNNNNNNNNNNNNNNNNNNNNNNNNNNNNNNNNNNNNNNNNNNNNNNNNNNNNNNNNNNNNNNNNNNNNNAUAUACUAAUAUUGGCACCUAGUGCAAUGGACGGAAAAGUAUUUUUACAAAAUUGAUACAAAUUCAAUUAUCAUAUUUAUAAAUAUAAUAAAAAAAAUUAAUUUUAAUUAAAUAUAUUUGAGUCGAGUAUUGAAAAAAUAAAGACGAAUUCAUAAUAAUAAAAAUUGGUACUAUUAUAAAAAGGCAAAAAAAUAAGUUAAAAAAUAAAAAUGAAAAUAAAAAUAGAAAAAAAGUAGAAUUAUUCAAAAAAAAACAUGAGAGUGGAACGAAAACGUUUUUUUUUCAAAAUUUAAUCUUUAAUUUUUUUUUAAUUUUUAUACCUUUAUUUAUUAUUUUCACACAUCAUUUUCACAUUUAAACGAGAUAAUAAAUAAUGUUACUUUAGUAGGGUUAAUUGGGCAAAUGUAUAGUUAUUUGAAACAUCCUAAAAUAAAAUAAGGAUUAAUUUCAUGGGACGGACGGAUUAUAAUACUAUAAACUUGGUUUAAUUGAGCAAAAUGUGUAGUUCUUUUUUUUUUAAGAAGUGCCCAUGUAAAACCCCUCCCCCCCUCCACCUUCAAAAAUCUAAACCCAACCAACCAAUGUCCACCACCGCCGAAUCGCCGCCGCCGCCGCCGCUACUAACCCACACAGAAUUAAUCUCCACCAUCACCACCUUCCUGAAGAAUUCCAACCCCGCCACAGCCACCCUCAACGCCGCCCUAUCGCCCUACCUCCCCCAGCUAACUCCCGACGUCCUCCACUCCAUCCUCUCCUCCUCCGCUCUCCACCGCCACCCUUCCGCCCUACUCUCCUUCUUCAAUUGGGCCCAAUCCGCCGCCCCUCUCACCCCCCUCCCCCUCCCCCCUCUCCUCUCUCUCCUCUCCUCCCUCAUUUCCCACAAGAAAUUCGACGACGCCAAAGCCCUACUCCAAUCCCAAAUCGUCUCCGAGCACCCCCACCACCACCUCCACCGCCACCUCCUCCACCCCGCCCGCCCCC